rnacentral:rRNA from 1 species
AUCGAACGCUGGCGGCAGGCCUAACACAUGCAAGUCGAGCGGAUGAGAGGAGCUUGCUUCUCGAUUCAGCGGCGGACGGGUGAGUAAUGCCUAGGAAUCUGCCUGGUAGUGGGGGACAACGUUUCGAAAGGAACGCUAAUACCGCAUACGUCCUACGGGAGAAAGCAGGGGACCUUCGGGCCUUGCGCUAUCAGAUGAGCCUAGGUCGGAUUAGCUAGUUGGUGAGGUAAUGGCUCACCAAGGCGACGAUCCGUAACUGGUCUGAGAGGAUGAUCAGUCACACUGGAACUGAGACACGGUCCAGACUCCUACGGGAGGCAGCAGUGGGGAAUAUUGGACAAUGGGCGAAAGCCUGAUCCAGCCAUGCCGCGUGUGUGAAGAAGGUCUUCGGAUUGUAAAGCACUUUAAGUUGGGAGGAAGGGUUGUAGAUUAAUACUCUGCAAUUUUGACGUUACCGACAGAAUAAGCACCGGCUAACUCUGUGCCAGCAGCCGCAGUAA